UGCCAGGUGUUUCCUUUGAGAAUAAUGAUUGUGAAGCUUGCAUUUUAGGCAAGCAUUGUAGAACUGUCUUUACCAAGUCUACUACUUGUUAAGAUGAGAGCCUUAUGGUAUGAAGAGGAGACCUUAGGAAGUGUAGAAGCAUUAGAGAGGAAGAUGGAAGCAUCAUGUACGGACUGUACGGAUAGGGCAAAGGGUACGGACGAUCAGGCCGUACCAUCAUGCGCAGUUAAGAAGUUACUCAGCUCAGGUAAAGAGUAAACUAGCUAGAGUUACUUUACCUUAAGGCUGAGCUUGAUCCGAACGUUGAGAGGAUAAGGAGGAGCGCGUCUGACAGUCUGGCAAGAGCUGGAAAGGUAAAGGCAUAU